rnacentral:rRNA from 1 species
CAAUAGCGUAUAUUUAAGUUGUUGCAGUUAAAAAGCUCGUAGUUGGAUUUCGGGUGGGACGCAGCGGUCUCGCAUUGCGUUUGUACUGCUGCAGCCCUCCUUCUUGCCGGGGGCGGCCUCUCGGACUUCACUGUCUGGGGGUCAGAAUCGGCGAUGUUACUUUGAGUAAAUUAGAGUGUUCAAAGCAAGCUUACGCUCUGAAUAUAAUAGCAUGGGAUAACACGACAGGACUCUGGCCUAUCGUGUUGGUCUAUAGGACCAGAGUAAUGAUUAAGAGGGACAGUCGGGGGCAUUCGUAUUCCGUUGUCAGAGGUGAAAUUCUUGGAUUUACGGAAGACGAACAUCUGCGAAAGCAUAUGCCAAGGAUGUUUUCAUUGA